CGGAANUUNUCGGGCGGCCUUACACAUGCAAGUCGAGCGGUAACAGAUCUAGCUUGCUAGAUGCUGACGAGCGGCGGACGGGUGAGUAAUGCAUAGGAAUCUGCCCGGUAGUGGGGGAUAACCUGGGGAAACCCAGGCUAAUACCGCAUACGUCCUACGGGAGAAAGGGGGCUUCGGCUCCCGCUAUUGGAUGAGCCUAUGUCGGAUUAGCUCGUUGGUGAGGUAAAGGCUCACCAAGGCAACGAUCCGUAGCUGGUCUGAGAGGAUGAUCAGCCACAUCGGGACUGAGACACGGCCCGAACUCCUACGGGAGGCAGCAGUGGGGAAUAUUGGACAAUGGGGGCAACCCUGAUCCAGCCAUGCCGCGUGUGUGAAGAAGGCCUUCGGGUUGUAAAGCACUUUCAGCGAGGAAGAACGCCUAGUGGUUAAUACCCAUUAGGAAAGACAUCACUCGCAGAAGAAGCACCGGCUAACUCCGUGCCAGCAGCCGCGGUAAUACGGAGGGUGCAAGCGUUAAUCGGAAUUACUGGGCGUAAAGCGCGCGUANGUGGCUUGAUAAGCCGGUUGUGAAAGCCCCGGGCUCAACCUGGGAACGGCAUCCGGAACUGUCAGGCUAGAGUGCAGGAGAGGAAGGUAGAAUUCCCGGUGUAGCGGUGAAAUGCGUUUAGAUUUGGAGGAAUACCUC
rnacentral:rRNA from 1 species